CGGGGCUUAAAGUCUUGUAAUUGGAAUGAUGGGAAUUUAAACCUCUUCCAGAGUAUCAAUUGGAGGGCAAGUCUGGUGCCAGCAGCCGCGGUAAUUCCAGCUCCAAUAGCGUAUAUUAAAAUUGUUGCAGUUAAAAAGCUCGUAGUUGAAUUUCUGCUGCAUUGCUUGUGUCCCUCUGGGGUCUGUGCAUGUGGCUUUUUUCGGACGGAGUUUCUUUGUCUGAAUGUUUACUUUGAGAAAAUUAGAGUGCUCAAAGCAGGCUUUCGCCUUGAAUAGUUUAGCAUGGAAUAAUAAAGUAGGACUUUGGUUCUAUUUUGUUGGUUUUAGGUACCGAAGUAAUGGUUAAUAGGAACAGUUGGGGGCAUUCGUAUUUAACUGUCAGAGGUGAAAUUCUUAGAUUUGUUAAAGACGAACUACUGCGAAAGCAUUUGCCAAGGAUGUUUUCAUUAAUCAAGAAC
rnacentral:rRNA from 1 species